GUGGGGAAUUUUGGACAAUGGGCGCAAGCCUGAUCCAGCAAUGCCGCGUGCAGGAAGAAGGCCUUCGGGUUGUAAACUGCUUUUGUACGGAACGAAACGGUCCGGGUUAAUACCCUGGACUAAUGACGGUACCGUAAGAAUAAGCACCGGCUAACUACGUGCCAGCAGCCGCGGUAAUACGUAGGGUGCAAGCGUUAAUCGGAAUUACUGGGCGUAAAGCGUGCGCAGGCGGUUUUGUAAGACAGGCGUGAAAUCCCCGGGCUCAACCUGGGAAUUGCGCUUGUGACUGCAAGGCUGGAGUGCGGCAGAGGGGGAUGGAAUUCCGCGUGUAGCAGUGAAAUGCGUAGAUAUGCGGAGGAACACCGAUGGCGAAGGCAAUCCCCUGGGCCUGCACUGACGCUCAUGCACGAAAGCGUGGGGAGCAAACAGGAUUAGAAACCCUAGUAGUCC
rnacentral:rRNA from 1 species